CUCAUCUAAUCAGAUUUGCAGCAGAGGGGAUGGAGGGCGGGUCGCGGAAUGCAGAUAAGGACCACACAUCUCAAAGAACCACCAGUGACAGUCAAAGCCAGUGCACACCUGAUGUUGAGGGAAUGAAGUCUCUUCUCUUCAUGUGAUGCAUAGGGUUUCAGAAAAAGGACAGGUUUUCUGAAAGGCUGAAGCAGGGGAGGAUACUGGAUUCAAACUCAGGCCAUCUGACGACAUUAUCUAACUCUUUCUGUAGCUGUUACAAACUGCAUUGCAGAUCCAAUCACUGCUGUGCUGGCCACUAGGACAGCUUUGCCAACCAUUCAUCAACACUGCGUGAUUCCCCCCAGCACGUCAAACAUUGACCCAAGUGCAUAACAAUGUAUUCAGCAUCUGUGUUAGAUCUUAGGUCAAUAUUUUUUACACAGUUGGAUUGAUUUGAAUUGCCGGGGGAUGCUGGUGACACACAUCACCAGUACGGGCAUCAGCGCAGCUUAGACGGACUCCUGAUCAAACCAGGGCUCUAGAAAGCUCCUGGGCUAAAUUCCUCCCAUCUUCCCUUUCUCAUUUGAAUCAACUUAUGGUAGCAAUAACAUCUGGAAUGGAUCUGUUUCAUUUUUGAUACUGGUUACCUCAAUUUAAUGUGCACUUUUGAUUUUAAAAAAUGGGCCAGUUCUCAGGGGGCAUAAAGUGAUGCAGCUUCAUUAAAUUCAAUGGCCAAUUUACACCAUUCGGCAUUUUGAGCCCAUUGACUUCAAUGGGACUGUGCUGAUUACAUUGAAACCAGUAAGACUAAAUCCCCUUUCAGUGAGGUUCAUCGAUUCCAAGGCCAGAAGACCUCCAAUAGUACACAGGUCAGAGAACUUCCCUAAAAUAAUUCCUUUGAACUAGAGCAUAAGUUUCAGAAAAACAUCCAAUCUUGAUUGAAAAGUUGCCGGUGAAGGAUAAUCCAACAUGACGCUGGGUCGAUGUUGAGCUGACUGACACCAGCAGGGGGUCUGGUCCCACUGCUACAAUGAGAUCCAAUUGCUUUACACUGGCAGAGGAUCUGGCCUUCCUGGCUUCCAUGGGGCGGCACGCAUCCUGCUGGCUAAGGAACUGGCGGAAGAUGUUCAGCAGCAUGGCAGCAGGUAUUCCAUUCCUGAC